GAGUUUGGACAGAGGGAGUGGCAAGGUUGUGACGGUGGGUUGUAGGUGAAGCGUAGCGGUGGAGAGCGAUGAUGAGGUUUGGAUAAGAGGAUGAAGAAGAUGAACAGUUGGCCAAGAGGAAGAGUUUUUACUUUUUUUAUUCUAUUUUAUAUUUUUUUUAUAGUGAGAGAGGGUGAGGCUGUGAGUGAACGUGAGUGAGUCAGAGAAGAUUUUUUUCUUUUUCCUAUUUG
rnacentral:lncRNA from 1 species